GAGGAAUAUUGGUCAAUGGACGAGAGUCUGAACCAGCCAAGUAGCGUGAAGGAUGACUGCCCUAUGGGUUGUAAACUUCUUUUAUACGGGAAUAAAGUUAGCCACGUGUGGCUUUUUGUAUGUACCGUAUGAAUAAGGAUCGGCUAACUCCGUGCCAGCAGCCGCGGUAAUACGGAGGAUCCGAGCGUUAUCCGGAUUUAUUGGGUUUAAAGGGAGCGUAGGCGGGUUGUUAAGUCAGUUGUGAAAGUUUGCGGCUCAACCGUAAAAUUGCAGUUGAUACUGGCGACCUUGAGUGCAACAGAGGUAGGCGGAAUUCGCGGUGUAGCGGUGAAAUGCUUAGAUAUCACGAAGAACUCCGAUUGCGAAAGCAGCUUACUGGAUUGUAACUGACGCUGAUGCUCGAAAGUGUGGGUAUCAAACAGGAUUAGAUACCCUGGUAGUCCACACAGUAAACGAUGAAUACUCGCUGUUGGCGAUAUACGGUCAGCGGCCAAGCGAAAGCAUUAAGUAUUCCACCUGGGGAGUACGCCGGCAACGGUGAAACUCAAAGGAAUUGACGGGGGCCCGCACAAGCGGAGGAACAUGUGGUUUAAUUCGAUGAUACGCGAGGAACCUUACCCGGGCUUAAAUUGCAACUGACUGAACCGGAAACGGUUCUUUCUUCGGACAGUUGUGAAGGUGCUGCAUGGUUGUCGUCAGCUCGUGCCGUGAGGUGUCGGCUUAAGUGCCAUAACGAGCGCAACCCUUAUCGAUAGUUACUAGCAGGUCAUGCUGAGGACUCUAUUGAGACUGCCGUCGUAAGAUGUGAGGAAGGUGGGGAUGACGUCAAAUCAGCACGGCCCUUACGUCCGGGGCUACACACGUGUUACAAUGGGGGGUACAGAAGGCAGCUACACGGCGACGUGGUGCUAAUCCCGAAAGCCUCUCUCAGUUCGGAUUGGAGUCUGCAACCCGACUCCAUGAAGCUGGAUUCGCUAGUAAUCGCGCAUCAGCCACGGCGCGGUGAAUACGUUCCCG
rnacentral:rRNA from 1 species